GUUGUGACAGUUUGAUAAGUUUGGUGCCAUGCUCAGUAUCUUUCCAAAAUCUGGAUACUCUAGAUGUGUGGUCUUGUAGCAGUCUGAGAAGUUUGAUAUCACCCUCGGUAGCUAAAAGUCUGGUAAAACUCAGAAAGCUCAAAAUGGGUGGAUCGCAUAUGAUGGAAGAAGUAGUUGCCAAUGAAGGAGGGGAAGCAGUCGAUGAGAUUGCUUUCUACAAAUUACAACACAUGGUACUUCUAUGUUUGCCAAACCUCACAAGCUUCAAUUCUGGGGGCUAUAUAUUCUCAUUCCCAUCCUUGGAGCAUAUGGUUGUGGAAGAAUGCCCCAAGAUGAAAAUUUUCUCUCCAAGCCUCGUAACUACACCAAAGCUAGAAAGAGUAGAAGUGGCAGAUGAUGAGUGGCACUGGCAUAAUGAUCUAAAUACCACAAUCCAUUAUUUGUUUAAAAAGACACAUGGUAAUGUUGAGGUUGAGAUUGUGGAAUUAGGAGUUGGUUCAACAUUAUGAUUGCGCCAUUUUUGGUUCUUCGGAAUGUUAUCGUGACUGAAUUUCUAACCAUGCUAAUGCAAGGUGUUUUCCCAAGAAACCUAGCGCUUCUACACACAUGGCGGUGGUGAAAUCAGAGAGAGAAGAGUCACAGAUGUUGAUGGAGUUGGGUUGUCGGUGCUCUCCUCGUAGCCCUUUUACUAUGGCAAUGAAUCCAAUGAUUUCGCUCUUCGAUCACAGCAACAAACCCUGCCACCAUGUGAAGGGAGUAAGGGGAUAUUUUCUGUGGUCAGUGUAUUCAAGGGAUAUACACUGGUAAAUCCAGUGAUAUAUGAGAUUAAUGAUUUGAAUUCAAGAGUUCCAUUUGCUCACCGUGUGGGACUUCUGUCAGAUGAACUCUAUAAGUCUUCGCUGUUUGAUGCGUAAGCCCCACCAAUAGAAGAACUUUCUGGAGCCAUGUAGCGAGGUGUUUCUCCAAUUGCUUUGGUGGAAUGAAAUUGUUAGUGGAAUUGUGUCCAAUGUGGCCUCUGCCCUUGUGAAAUGGCUUAUGGUCAUUGAAGUCUACCACCAAUAUAGAUGGUAGACCCAAGCUGGUUGUUGGCUUGCCUGAAGGGUAAUCUAGGCAUGUAGAUGGGAAACUAAGAGAAGCAAGGAUGAACCAUCCAAAAGGGCUUACAGUGGAUGAGAAAA